GGAAUAUUGGACAAUGGGCGAAAGCCUGAUCCAGCCAUGCCGCGUGAGUGAAGAAGGCCUUAGGGUUGUAAAGCUCUUUCAGCGGGGAAGAUAAUGACGGUACCCGCAGAAGAAGCCCCGGCUAACUUCGUGCCAGCAGCCGCGGUAAUACGAAGGGGGCUAGCGUUGUUCGGAAUUACUGGGCGUAAAGCGCGCGCAGGCGGUCUGCCAAGUCAGAGGUGAAAGCCCCGAGCUCAACUCGGGAACUGCCUUUGAAACUGGUAGACUAGGGUUCGGGAGAGGUGAGUGGAAUUCCGAGUGUAGAGGUGAAAUUCGUAGAUAUUCGGAAGAACACCAGUGGCGAAGGCGGCUCACUGGCCCGAUACCGACGCUCAGGCGCGAUAGCGUGGGGAGCAAA
rnacentral:rRNA from 1 species